UUGCUGGAGGUAUCAGAAGUGCGAAUGCUGACAUAAGUAACGAUAAAGCGGGUGAAAAGCCCGCUCGCCGGAAGACCAAGGGUUCCUGUCCAACGUUAAUCGGGGCAGGGUGAGUCGACCCCUAAGGCGAGGCCGAAAGGCGUAGUCGAUGGGAAACGGGUUAAUAUUCCCGUACUUGGUGUUACUGCGAAGGGGGGACGGAGAAGGCUAUGUUGGCCGGGCGACGGUUGUCCCGGUUUAAGCGUGUAGGCUGGUUUUCCAGGCAAAUCCGGAAAAUCAAGGCUGAGGCGUGACGACGAGGCACUACGGUGCUGAAGCAACAAAUGCCCUGCUUCCAGGAAAAGCCUCUAAGCAUCAGGUAACAUCAAAUCGUACCCCAAACCGACACAGGUGGUCAGGUAGAGAAUACCAAGGCGCUUGAGAGAACUCGGGUGAAGGAACUAGGCAAAAUGGUGCCGUAACUUCGGGAGAAGGCACGCUGACACGUAGGUGAAGUGAUUUACUCAUGGAGCUGAAGUCAGUCGAAGAUACCAGCUGGCUGCAACUGUUUAUUAAAAACACAGCACUGUGCAAACACGAAAGUGGACGUAUACGGUGUGACGCCUGCCCGGUGCCGGAAGGUUAAUUGAUGGGGUCAGCGCAAGCGAAGCUCCUGAUCGAAGCCCCGGUAAACGGCGGCCGUAACUAUAACGGUCCUAAGGUAGCGAAAUUCCUUGUCGGGUAAGUUCCGACCUGCACGAAUGGCGUAAUGAUGGCCAGGCUGUCUCCACCCGAGACUCAGUGAAAUUGAACUCGCUGUGAAGAUGCAGUGUACCCGCGGCAAGACGGAAAGACCCCGUGAACCUUUACUAUAGCUUGACACUGAACAUUGAGCCUUGAUGUGUAGGAUAGGUGGGAGGCUUUGAAGUGUGGACGCCAGUCUGCAUGGAGCCGACCUUGAAAUACCACCCUUUAAUGUUUGAUGUUCUAACGUGGACCCGUUACCCGGGUUGCGGACAGUGUCUGGUGGGUAGUUUGACUGGGGCGGUCUCCUCCUAAAGAGUAACGGAGGAGCACGAAGGUUGGCUAAUCCUGGUCGGACAUCAGGAGGUUAGUGCAAUGGCAUAAGCCAGCUUGACUGCGAGCGUGACGGCGCGAGCAGGUGCGAAAGCAGGUCAUAGUGAUCCGGUGGUUCUGAAUGGAAGGGCCAUCGCUCAACGGAUAAAAGGUACUCCGGGGAUAACAGGCUGAUACCGCCCAAGAGUUCAUAUCGACGGCGGUGUUUGGCACCUCGAUGUCGGCUCAUCACAUCCUGGGGCUGAAGUAGGUCCCAAGGGUAUGGCUGUUCGCCAUUUAAAGUGGUACGCGAGCUGGGUUUAGAACGUCGUGAGACAGUUCGGUCCCUAUCUGCCGUGGGCGCUGGAGAACUGAGGGGGGCUGCUCCUAGUACGAGAGGACCGGAGUGGACGCAUCACUGGUGUUCGGGUUGUCAUGCCAAUGGCACUGCCCGGUAGCUAAAUGCGGAAGAGAUAAGUGCUGAAAGCAUCUAAGCACGAAACUUGCCCCGA
rnacentral:rRNA from 1 species